rnacentral:rRNA from 1 species
ACCUACGGGGCGCAGCAGUAGGGAAUCUUCCACAAUGGGCGAAAGCCUGAUGGAGCAACGCAGCGUGGGUGAAGAAGGUCUUCGGAUCGUAAAACCCUGUUGUUAGAGAAGAAAGUGCGUGAGAGUAACUGUUCACAUUUCGACGGUAUCUAACCAGAAAGCCACGGCUAACUACGUGCCAGCAGCCGCGGUAAUACGUAGGUGGCAAGCGUUAUCCGGAUUUAUUGGGCGUAAAGGGAACGCAGGCGGUCUUUUAAGUCUGAUGCGAAAGCCUUCGGCUUAACCGGAGUAGUGCAUUGGAAACU